CGGGGCGUAGCGCAGCCUGGUAGCGCGUACGGUUCGGGACCGUAAGGUCGCUGGUUCAAAUCCAGUCGCCCCGA
rnacentral:tRNA from 1 species